UCACUCACUGCUUAGUUUGUACCGUGUCAUAUCAUACCGUAUUAUCGUCCGGCAAGCGCGACUUUACAACAUAACAACGAUUAUUAUAUUAUUAAAAGAGAAAUAAACAAAGUUGAAUAGUAAAAUGGAUUCUGGAAACAAAGAUUCGUCGAAAAAUCGAAAUACAACACAAGUAUCGACUAAUAGUCCGUGGAGUUUGUUAUUUAGUCAAAGAAAUCGUACAAAUAGUGAAACCAGUGUUGGUUCAACAAGUUCUCAAAGCAGUCAAUCAGGUGCUCAAUGCGGAGCUCUGCAGAGGCAAACCAGCAAGAAUGAGGAAUACUUGUGGAUGAUGUGGCGUUCUUAAGUGCACGCACACUGACAGCAGAGUCUGCAACAGACCUCAUUAAAACUGGAACUUUUUAUUUAGGAGUAACGUUUACUUAAUAUUGCAUUAUAAUUAUGUGUUGGGAAAC